GCAGGCGGCGCGACGUUACCUCUAUCGACGACUGUUCUCCUUUACCGGCCACAGUGAUUUCGAUCUUGCACUGACUGAGCCGAGCUGCCGCAUGUCGUGGGCAGUGACACAACUAGGAGACUUCACAUGGCCACUGGCACAGUGAAAUGGUUCAACGCAACCAAAGGUUUUGGCUUCAUUCAACCCGAUGGCGGUUCCAAGGAUGUGUUCGUGCACAUCUCUGCCGUUGAGCGCGCUGGUUUGCGCGGUCUGGACGAUGGUCAGAAAGUGACCUUCGAUCUGGAAAAAGGUCGUGAUGGCCGCGAAUCUGCGUCCAAUCUGGCUCUGUCCUGAUUUGACCGCCUGAUUAUCAGGCAUGAAUGCUGAAAGCCGCCCAUUUUUUGGGCGGCUUUUGUU
rnacentral:misc_RNA from 1 species